ensembl:snoRNA SNORD83 Small nucleolar RNA SNORD83
GCCACAUGAUGACCUGAAUAGAGAGCAGGAGCUCGGCUGUGAUGACAUCUCAUCUAUCACCCCUGUCUGAUGGCU